rnacentral:lncRNA from 1 species
AUGUAUUCACGCUCUCACACACUCCCUAUCUUUUUCUCCCGUGGCUGCCACUGACGAAUCCCUGUUAUCUAUUGUGAUUUGUAAAUCAAUAGGAAAAGCGACAGUGGUCGAAGGUCACACGCCGAAAUAAGGAGCAGUUGGGUAGCUUCCAAACAGUGGCAGAUAGCAUGACAUUGUUCAUCACAGAAGCCAAAGGGAUCACAAAGAACCCUAUUCUUGAAAAGGGCAUUACACAUCGUUGUGGUGGCUUGUGAAACGCAAGUGCUGGAGCGGUAGCUAGAGUGCAUAGGCGCUAGAAAAAAAAUGGUUGGUAGUGGUCACUGGAGGAGGAGAGACAUAGCAUAAUAUUGUGAAUUAAGCACAAAAAUAUAUCUGAUUUUUUAGGAAUGUUUAUUAUACAUGAUUGUUGCAUCAUAAGGAGAGAUUUGUAUAAGC